rnacentral:lncRNA from 1 species
UACCUGAAAGGUGCUUACAGUGAGAGCGGGGUAGGCCUCUUCUCACUGGCAACAGGUGACAAGACAAGGGGAAAUGGCCUCAAGUUGUGCCAAGAAGCGCUGAAAGCUGAUACUUCUGUCUCUUCCCCAACAACCCUAAGAGAUAUGGCUCCAAGAAGCACCUCCAAUGCUCAAAAAUACACAUGGAGGGACAACAGUGAAGCAUAUGGUUGCCAGGAAGCUGGGGGUCAGCGCCACAGAGGUUACAAGGUACAGUUAUCUUACCUGAUGCGGUUCAAAUCCUUGUUGGAUAAAGAGGCUGUUAGCCAGGCUUAAAACAUAGUCUUUGCCAAGGUUUUGUAGUUGUAAAAGCAGUGCAUGGAACGCUUCGUGGUUAAGAUUCCCAUCUGUGUUGCACUAGGAAUAUUUCAAACACACCAAUUACAAGUAUUCCUCAGUAUAGCUUUGGUUGUUCAUUUGCAUCCUCAUUAGAUUGCAGCGUAGGGCUAGUUCCCACUGUAAUUAUAUUUAAAUUCAGCUAACCUAAGCUUUGUAACCUGAUCUUCCUUCUGGUGGGGGCUUUGUAUUUGACUUUAUGGAGGACUUGGCUGAUUACAAGGGAACACCUUCAAUCAGGCGUAGUAGACCAGGCAGAUGUUGUGCAUGGGAUCUUGACUCCCUCCUGUGGCAGGCUGUGGUGCUUUACAACUAAUAGGCUACUGUGGAGUGAAAGGACUCUUGUACUACAAAAGACGUACCAGAGAGGGGGAAGACUCUCUUUCCUGGCUUAGUUCAGACUUGUUUUCGGGCACUGCACCUUCAAGCUCAGAUUCAAGGCUUGUAGUUCCUGUGGCAUGGCUGACGUGGAGAACCUGCAGUUGAAGAGGUCAAAUUAAUGGCAAUUUUAACUGGGAUAAAGGCAUUUUCCUUGUUUGAAAGAUUUACUGGGCUGUCCUGGAUAAGUGAUGUAGAUUUAUUAACUAUCAUAGAAAGGUUUGGGUUGGAAGGGACCUCAAAGCCCACUCAGCCCCAACCCCAUGCUGUGGGCAGGGAUGCCACCACCAGCUCAGGUUGCCCAGGGCCCCAUCCAACCUGGCUUUGAGCGCCUCCAGGGAUGGCGCACCACAGCUUCUCUGGGAAGCCUGUGCUGGUGCCUCAUUGCCCUCUGUGUAAAGAAUAUAUGCCUAACAUCUUACCUAAAUUUCCGCUCUUUUAGUUAGACACCAUUCCCCCUUGUUGAGAGUACUCGAUCUCCAUUGCUUUCCUAAACUAAGCAAGAGUCACUCAGAACCUCAUAAGGAGAAUGAGUUUCCCUUGGCAGCAGCUGACCUGUGGCAAUAUUAUAAUACAAUGGAUGAAGAUCCACCAGGACACAGCCAGAGCCAGCUACUGCCUUAUGCCACAUAUACCUUAGGAGUAUUGGUCACUUACUGCUCUCAGAAACAAAUAAGAAAAGAAAUAAAAGAUCUCAGAGCAUACAGCUUGCACUGCAGGGAGUAAAAGGCAUGGUGACCAGAGGAACAGACUUCUGCAUGCCCACCCUGUACCCCCAGGCUCCGUGUGCUCUGUAGGUGAGACAUGUUGAAUCGUUUGAAUGUCACAGUUGAUAAGUGAGCAGGGAUCACAGCACACCAAGCACUGCUCUCAAGGCAGCAGUUGAGCUUGUGUUUAUCUUUGUCUCCUAAGCACACAUGUUGUGCUGCAAAGCCCAGCAUUGCCACUGGGGGAACAGCAGGCUAUGUGGAAGUAUCUCAGAACAUUUCAGCAGUACUUACUUCUUCUAUCUGAGCAGCAGUGUUGUUUCGUGCCCCUAGAAGGAUCAGGCCAAGGGAGGUAGAGAUGCUCAUUGGAGAGAAGACAAUGUUUUGGCCUUUUGCUGUUCUGUUGAGUUUAUUGUAGAGAUCAAGGCAAAACUCAAUAAUCAUUCUAGAAAUGGAGCCCAUUGUGAAGCCUGCAGCUUACUGGGAGCAAAAAGGGAAAGGAGAAAUGUGAAUCAGCUGAUUGCUUAUCUGUAUCAUACUGUGAAGUAUCUGUCCACCCUAAAAUCAUCCCAUAGAUGGUUGCUAAAUAGUAGAAGUGUGCUGAAUUCUGAGUUUGAAAUAGCUGAUUUUGCACACAUCUAUUAAUUCACACUCAUGUGGAUACAGCAGGAUCUGGAAAGGGGCCCCAAUACUCAUACCAUAUGAGAAUUCCUUAGAGAGAAUUGUUUUUCCAUCUUAUCCCACAGUGUAUCUGAUUCCUUCCAAAAGAGAGUUUCCCGUGAUCUGUCUUACUUGUUCUUAUUUGUAAGCAAAAGGUUGUGGUAUUUAAAUCAGUCAGCUGUGGAUUUCCUUCUACAAACUAGUUUAAUGUGUGUCAUCGCAUCAGUUCUUUCCUCUUGUAACAACAUGAUUAGAGACAGAUUGGGGUGACAGAAACUACACGGGCAUCUAACCACAUCUGGUAACCUGAGCUGCAGUGUGAAGGAUUCAAACAACAGAUUCAUGAAAAUAAAAUUACUAGUAAUUAUUUUCAUGUAUGAAGAAGGAACGUAAACAGCUAUGAAUGCUACUACCUAUGGAAACAUGCACUGUUUGCAGUAUACUUCAUGUCUCCUCAUUGAUUUGAUAGGAACCACUGAUUCAGAAUGGAUAACGAAUGGCAAUUUCACAACGAAGCAAUAGCUCAGCAGCCCCAGAAAGUCUGUAAGCUUCCUGUUCAAUGGCAGGACAAGAUCUGUCUCAUUCUUUUCUCUUGUACUGUAAAUACAGCAGUCUGAUGCCUUUCCUAUGGGUCAUUAAAUCCACUCUGGUAAGAAGAAUUUGGGACUAAGUUUCAGCUUGGUCUUUUCAUGAAGAAUGCCAUCUGAAAAAAAAAAAAAAGGCUUUUAAGAAGCCCUUAUCAGUCCUUUAGGGAAAUAACUGUAAAGCUGUUGUGUGGAUAGCAGUGGAGUACUCAAGUUUUUCUCAAAAUAUUGUACCAUAAAACGCACACAUCAAUUUUAGUGUCAAACAAAGGAUGUUCUGGACAGCACACCAGAAAAAUGUAAGAAAAGCAAAGCAUAUGCUCUUGGCUGCUUGCAGACAUAAGUAACUGUGGCCUGUGUUCCAGAAAGAUAUUUUAUUUAGGCAAAAAUACAUAGCACAGUGUGGAGAGAAAGCACUCAGGUCAGGGUGGCUCUAGCUUUCAGCCUGCUCUGGGACAAGAACUACUCAGCGUCCUGCACUGACUGCAAAGAUGUGGAACACACACUGCCUCUCAUUCAGGUAUGAGACAGGCAGGAUCUUUGCAUGACAAGUGGGGGCUCAGGCACCAAAGUUACCAGGGUGUAAGAAGUUGCUAUGGCUCUGCUGAGGUGCAGCAAGUUGUCUGUGCGAGCAGCUUAGCUUGCAGCAAGUGCCAGACAAUGGGAAUGAACUCAGCCCACAAGAAAAAAGGCUUAGCCUAAGAUAAAUUGACAGGAAAGUCAAGUUGCUGAACAUAUGAAGGUGCUGAUAUGUGACAAGUGCAAGCAUUUCUUUCCUUUUACCUAACUUGAAAUAAAAAGUUCAUAUAUGUUUCAUUUUAAGACACUUUUUUCCCCCUGAAGUCCAGUAGUACUUCAUAUGAAGGCCUAACAUAAAUGGGCAGUCAUCCUACCACAAGAAAAACACAUUGCAGUAAUCAUUUCUCUUUUCUUCCACCCUCGUUAGCUAUUAUUCACAACCUUCUGAAAACAAAACUCAGCACUUCUUUCAUGUUAAAGUUUGUGUUGCUCCACUUUCACAGCUGGUAAAAGAUCUAAAAUGGAUCUAAGAGGUUGUUUACUGUGAAUGUAGGUCAGGAUGCAUGUUGUAGGUGUGUCUAGACCUCAGAAGGCGUCGAGGAGACAACAGGAGCUAAUGAACUUCCUCAACAGAAGAGAGGCACCUCCACCCCAACCCACAGGGAAAGAACCAACCACCAAGCACAGAGGGAGAGCAUGAGAGCUGGAAGCAGGUCUUAAAGGCAAGCGUCUGGCAUACAGAGGUGUCCAUGCCUUUAGAAAAAGCAGCAGACUGUAUUCAGAGUGACGUCCAGGUACAACCACUGCCACCAAUUCCGUGGCUUCAUGUGAGCUAUUUACAGGGCUGCCCCAGAAAAGCAAUGCAACAGUGGAGGGAGAAGGGAUGUGGGCUGGAGAAGGAACUUUCUUACUAGAGAACCAAAGGAUUUAGUGAACUUUCUUAAUGGAUAUUUGGAGAGGGAGUAUGUGUAGGUAUGAUUCCACAUAUUAAGCCAUGCUUAUGAUCUCUGUAAUCAUUUGUUGGUGAGUUUUGGAGCCACCGUGAGGGCAGAGUAACUUUGAGAACACCUAGAUGUUGGGCAACAAAUGGAAAUGGUUCUUUUAAAAGAUCUUGGAGUGGGAAGGAGAGAAAAUACAAGAUCAAAAGAAGUGUUCCAGAAAGAUCACAGCUGUUGUUCUGCACCAGACAAACUGUUUGCACAGAACAUUAGCAAUUGUGCAGAGGCAACAAGCAGGGCUGUGGUUUUAUGGCUGAUGAAGGGAGAUGCUUUGCAUGAUGGCUCAGUAGCUGUUAACAGUCUGGGAGAUGGAAUUGCUGGCGUUGUUAUAUGUGAGCAGGGAUCUACCCAGGAAAAGAGCCUCCUUCCGUAGAUACCACUGUAUACCAGAAGUCUUGUAAGGAUAACAAAUUGCUUCCAUGGCUCCGUGAAGUGAAAAAUACUCCUUUUCUAUAGCUGUUCACGCUCUGUUCUCUCUGUAGAGCUUGUUUUAGGCUAAAGAUGAAAUCAAGGCAAAACUUACUGAAGAAUGAAAAGCUGCGCUCAAAGCUAUCAUAAUUAAAAGAUGUGGUAUGUUACAUUAUGCAGUCAACAGGAGGAGGCAGUAAAUAAAAUGCAGAUUCUGAAAGAGUGGUAGCCUGGUUUGUAAGGCAGUUCUAUAUGUAGAAAGGGAAAGCAAGAAGAAACCUGUUUUCCCUGAUGCUGCAUGAUAAUUCCAAUUGCAUACUUACUCUUCUUCUCAUUUAAGUGCUUUAAUAUACAUUUAUUUCUCAUAAGCAAAGGAAGAGAGAAUUGGCAGAAAUGAUAUGUGUCUAUCCUAGAAAAGGAGAACACAACAGAUAAUACAGUGUCCUCACAUGAAAAGCCUGCGGUUGGUAGAAGUUAUUUUUCAUGACCAUUCAUACAAAAACUUUCAAAGUGUUUCUGUGGCUUUUUGGGUUUAAAGGGACGCAACACAUAAGAAAAAUGAAAUUUCCUUUAACACAGAAAUUCGAGUCUUCCCCAUGCAACACAAAGCAUUUCCAAAGCAAUGUGCUUUAAAUUAAAACCCAAUACAUUUCAGCACAAAAUAUCUUUUCAGGAGAAGUGUUGCCAAGUCCAUCUCCCAAGCAACUUAGCCCCUCAUGAUGCUGUUUUUAUACAGGAAAGGGCUUUUCCUGACUGGUUCUAUUAUUUUGCAUCGGUACCUCCAGGAUGUAUCUUUCCUGCUUCUUUCUAGGCUGAUUAUUCCUGCUUGAACAGGAAUGGAUGUACAUUGGCCAUACAGUGGCAAGCUAUUUGUUAUGCCAAUGUGUAGUUACAUAAACUUCUCAGCAAAUUUUUGAACACCGCUGCCAAAGCCAGGAGCAAAUAUGUUGAUAGUGAAGCAUCCCCAUUACCAAAACAAAAUCUGAAGAAUACUCCACCCUUCCUAUUAUAUACAGCCAUUGUUUAAGAACAUAAACAAUCCUAGCAGCAGAGACCAGGGUACAGAGGAAACACCCAAGCACGCAACCAAAGAGUUGCGUGCCCUCUCUUGUCUAGUGAACAUUUCAAGGCUUUUCCUUGUGCUGUGGAAACCUGAGUAAAGAAGGAAAAUUAACCUGUUUCUAUUAAUUUAUGGGUGAGUUUAUCCAGAUGAUCUGCACCAUCGCUUCUCAUAAAGCCCAUUUUUUUAGAGUGAGUUGGGCUGUUCUAAAACAGCCCUUUGACCCUUCUGGAGAUGUAGGCAGCAAAGCAUCUGCAUGUGGUAUAAACCACUCAGUCUGUGGCAGUUAUAGCUCUCCAAGCAGGCAGGGAGAACCGAGGGAAAUUUCAGUCAAAAGUCUGAGGAAUUUAGACAGGCAUCUUUAGAUUCAUAGCUUUGGGCAUGUGUUCCUAAAUUCCCAGCCUCACCCCAGAGAAGACCACCUCCCUUCGUGAAGACCACCCAAAUUUUAGCAGUGUCUUUUGCUCUCUCCAGCCUGUGAAAGUACCUCCCCCUUUGCCCCAUCUAUAAGCAUGAAAUUUACUUUACCAACUUUUAGACUGAUUUGGCCAAAACAACAACAACAACAAGACAAGUUAUUUUUGAAGAGAAAAAUAAUGUUUACCUUCUUGAGCAAGGAGGUCAAAUGAAGAACACAACAGCUGAGCUCUGGAGCACCUUCCUGUGUAUACUCUAUUUUAAAUUUCUUCCACUUUCUUGUGGGAAAAUUCAGUCUCUAGCCAAUUGUUGAUAAAGGCUGCACGUUGUAAUUUCAUGCAAAUGUCAUCCUUCAGUUUCCUGCAGAAGACCAGGAAACCUAUAUCUAGCAAUGUGCUAACAGCAUUUCGCUCAAAGCUGCCCAACUAGUUUGACAGGAGGCAUCCUGGCAACAUCUCCUGACUGCAAAGCCAAGUCGCCCUUAGCUGGAGAACAGCAUUAACACUGGAGAUCCAUGGCUGUGGUGCUGUGUGUAGUUCCUUUUGAAUUUGGUGGUGUCAGGACUUGAACACUGGGGUGUGCAGGGUUCUUGCUAGGAUUUAGAGAUCCCUUGUUUGGGGCUGAGCUUGCUUGCAGAAAUAGAGCAAAUGAAUAGGAAAUGCAUGUGCUUUAUGUUGCCUACAGGUAGUAGGCACGCAUUCAGGUACAGAGCCAGCUUUCUGUGAGUGGAAGGAUUUUAAUUAGAGAGAGGAAGAAGUAUUUCCUUGAUCUGUAACAGGAAUCCCCACCCAGGGGGUAUUCUUUUAAAUCACUGGAGCUAAGAAUAGGAGUCCAAGAGAGGCUGAUCACAUGGGGUUAUGUCCCCAACAUGCAGUGAGAUGCAAAGAAAGAGAUGGGAAGCACAAAUCUGCACACAGUAUCAGAUCUCCUCAGUAAUAUUUUCCUUCUUUUCACUUUUUUUCUGUUCCAUUUGGAUUCGCUUUGUUGUUUGCUUUUCCUUUCUGCAUAUUUCUUCAGACUUCUUAGUCAUUUGUUCCUGCCUCUUUAUCUUUUUCUUUCUUUCUGCCUAUUGCCUUUCCCAUUCCAUUCUCCAUUUUUUCUUCUGCUGCUUUUGUGAGUCCUAGCCACUUUUCAGUGCCAUUUUUGAAUACCUUUCACUGCUUUCGUUCUUCCAAACUCUGUGCUUUCUCCCUCCCUUUUACACUGACGUCGUUCCUCCACUCAUUUCUUUGAUUUGCUCUCUAUAUCUCCUUAGAGCUUCUUUGCAAUCUGUUUCACUGCUUUGCCUCAGAACAUUAUACCGUAUGUGCAAAUUCUGACCCUUCUAAGGCCGUUAGGAUGGAAUCAUAGAAUUGUAGAGGUUGGAAGGGACCUCUGGAGAUUACUGAGUUCAACUCACUCCUACAGAAGCUCCCUAGAGUAGGUUGCACAGGAAAGCAUCCAGGCAGGUUUUGAAUAUUUCCAGAGAAGGAGACUCCACAACCUCUCCGGGCAGCCUGUUCCAGUCCUCUGUUACCCUCAAAGUAGAGAAGUACUUCCUCUUGUUGGUGUUGAAUUUUCGCCCAUUUCCUGUCACAGGAUACCAAAAGGAGCCUGGCCCUAUUCACUUGGCUUCUGCCCUUUAAGUAUUUGUAAUCACUGAUAUGAUCCCCCUUCAGCCUUAUCUUCUCCAGUCUGGAAAACCCAAGGUUUCUCAGUCUUUUCUCACAAGGGAGAUGCUACAGGACCCCAGGCAUCUUUGUGGCCCUCUGCUGGACUCUCUCUCCAGUAGCUCCCUGACUUUUUUGAACUGAGGAGCCCAGAAAUGGAC